AAAAAAAAAAAUCUCUUCCUUGCGAGGGUCUUGUCUUGAAACAGCAGUUAGCUGUCCGGCGGAGCAGUAGGAAGCUGAUGUCUUUCCUUAAGGUUCCUCCGUGGAGGGUGGUUUCCUCCUUCCGCGGAAGCAUCAUCCCAAUCUUCGAAACUCCACCAAAACCGGCAUACCAGACAUUCCGUCCAUUCCUUAAUUUCCCUGCAACUUAUACCCAGUGUAGUUUCUCUCCUUCAGUUCCUCAUUCUUCUACGCCUUCUGCUAUUCCUGAUGCUAGUUACCGCUGGAGACCCAUGUGCUUGUAUUAUACACAAGGCAAAUGCACCAAGAUGGAUGAUCCUACCCACCUAGAGAGGUUUAAUCAUGAUUGCUCUAGGGACCUUUCAGUCCAUGCUGCUGCAGUUGAACGCAUGCGACCCCAAAAUUUUGAUUUUUUCUUGGUCUUUGAUUUGGAGGGGAAAGUUGAGAUCCUUGAGUUCCCUGUGCUGAUUAUAGAUGCCAAAACCAUGUCUAUUGUGGACUUCUUCCACAGGUUUGUCAGGCCCUCAGCUAUGACCGAACAAAGAAUAAAUGAAUAUAUUGAAAACAAAUAUGGCAAGUUUGGAGUUGAUCGUGUGUGGCAUGACACAGCUCUCCCAUUUAAUGAAGUUAUUCAACAAUUUGAAGCUUGGUUGACUCAUCACCAUUUGUGGGAACCAAAGCAUGGUGGAUUUCUUAAUCAAGCAGCAUUUGUAACUUGUGGAAAUUGGGAUGUGAAAACGCAGAUCCCUCGGCAAUGCCAAGUGUCAAAGAUUAAGCUUCCCUCAUACUUUAUGGAGUGGAUCAACCUGAAAGAUGUUUAUCAAAAUUUUUAUAACCCAAUAAAAGAGGCGAGAGGAAUGAGGACGAUGAUGGAGCAGCUGAAAAUACCAAUGCUGGGAAGUCAUCAUCUGGGGAUUGAUGACGCAAAGAAUAUAGCCAAAGUUUUACUAAGGAUGCUUGCAGAUGGUGCAGUGAUUCCAAUUACUGCUAGGAGAUAUCCUGAUUCCCCUGGAAAUGUUCAUUUUCUAUUUAAGAAUCGUAUACGUUAGUUCCUUUUAGCUACAUAACUAUUUUUUUUAAGGUGUUAUUUCUGUGUUAAGAAUCGCAUACGUUAGUUGUUUUUCGCUACAUAAUUACUGAUGAGGUUUGACAUA
rnacentral:misc_RNA from 1 species